rnacentral:rRNA from 1 species
AUGGAGACAAGAGUCCUGACUUGGUUGGAGAGAUGGUUGAGGAGAACCUUAAAACACGCUAUGUUAGGGCUGGCCUCUCUCCAACGUACGAUUGAGAGGCAAAGAUCGAGGCUUAAAUGGAUAAAAGAAGGUGAUGCGAACACGAAACUCUUUCAAGUAGUGGCCAAUGGACGGAGGUGUAAGAACUUUAUAAUCCACAUUAGACAUAACGGUGAGCUGAUCACGGAUCAAGGAAGGAAGGAGGAGAUAUUCUCGGAGGCUUAUGAGCGGCUUCUUGGGCAUGCCACUGCCCGGGAGGUGGAAGUUGAUCUCGACUUUCUUGGCUUGGAAGGGAUUGACUUGUCGGAGCUUGAUGGUAUAUUUACGGAUGAGGAAGUGUGGAACACGAUUAAGGAGAUGCCACCGGAUCGGGCACCGGGACCAGAUGGUUUUAUCACGGCAUUUUAUCAAAAGGCUUGGCAUAUCAUAAAGAAGGAUGUGAUGGCAGUGAUUAUGAAGCUCUACGUGGGGGAUGGCCGUGGAUUUGGCAAACUGAAUCGAGCACACAUCAUGCUCAUCCCAAAAAGCCCGAGGCGGAGGAGGUGGGAGGCUUCAGACCAAUUAGCUUAA